UUUUGUUAGCGAUUAUUAAUUUGCUUACUGAUGCUUAUUAAUAGAAAACUUAGUUUAUUUUUGGCUAAUGUAUAGGCUAUAUGCCCUGAGAAAUUGAUACUCAGUAAGAUGUUUUUGUUGUAGUAAAGUUAAAUUGCACCUAGUUAUGUAAAACUUUAUAAAAUAUAUACUUCACAUAUAGAAUUAGUUAAGUACAACUUGAAUAAAAGUACUCUUAAAAUUGUACUUAGUUAAGUUAAAUUGUACUUAAAUUAUGCAAAACAUAUGUUCAUCAUCAUUUGAGCUAAGACAACAUCAAUGUAAACUUUAUUCAAAUGUAAAAUUGAUGAAAUAUAUAUGUGAGACGUCCGUUUUGUAACUUGGACAAUGUUGUGUGUGCUAGAUAGUUUUUUAUUAACUUAAUUGAUUUAUCUUCUUGUUUUUAUUAUGUAGAAUUUUUCACAAUUUUUUUUACAUUUUUUGUAGUUAGUAGUUGACUAACGGUGCGUAACGGAUACCAAAAUCGAAAGAAACCAUGUCAAAAAAUGACCUUCUGAAACUUAGGCUGUUACUGUCCUUUCAAAGUGAAAGGAAAGUUAGGAAACAAAAAGUUGAUGAAAAUUAGAAUCAGACAAUUUUGUUUGAAACAGUUGAAGAAGUUUUAUUUAUAUUAUUGUACUUGGUUCUUGAUGUACAUAUAAGUUGCUUUAAUUGAGCUCAUUAUACCAUAUAUAAAUGGAAGUGGUUAGUAUGAAGUUUAUUUUCGACUAAGUUGGUCAAUUGACCAAUAGGAUUCUAAAUAUAAACCACCUUGUAUUUUUUCUGUUUAUUUUGUUUUGUCUUUCCUUUUCUAUUCUUGAAACAGCUUACUCGGAAACUAUAUACCUGGUUCCAAUUUUUCCCCUUCUCAUUUUUCAACAAAUUGCUGAUUACUUACUGUUUCGAACAACUAUUCCAUUUUUUCUGGUGUAACAGGAUUGAAGGAAAUUGAAGUUGUCUCAAAUGUUUGUGGUUUGCCAUAUGAAUUUGCUUUUCAAAUCGAAGUUCACUGCUUUUUGAUUAUUUUUUUUUUUGGUAAAGUAGUGUAGUAACCGAUCCUACAAAUGUUCUUAUAGCUAGGUUAAUAAUAUUGGCGAGGGGUCUCAAAAUUUUGAUCUCUAAUAUAUUUUAAAUACAAAUGUUAUAAUUGCAUUGGUAUAUAAUGAUUAUGAAUUAGGUUUGGCUUGGUUAUGGGAUACAAAAUAUAGUUCGUUCCAUUAUUUUGAUAGAUAUGUUGUUUAUUUUAAUAUGAGUUAUGCACCCACCCACCCAUUCAUUCAUUAAUCCUAUUGAUUGACUAAAUCAUUUUCUUAUGGGAAAUAUAUAUUCUAGAAUUGAAAUGUAAUUUUAUAGAAUAUUAAAUAAAUAAAAUUGGCUAAAGGGAGGGAGGAUUGGAGGUUAACAAUAGAAAAGCCAUCUCUCAAGAAUUUCGCAUUAUAAUAUCCUAGCUAGUUGCCAAUAUUAAUUACAUUUAAUCCUUGGUGAAUGAAGGGGUUGGGUUGAAUUUAAAACUAUAUUAUUCAUAAUAAAUAUGGACUCAUUAUUUAUUUAACUCAUUCAAAUCUAAUUAUUUCUAAACCUCACAACUUUCUCUCUCACAAUAAAAACCUUCCCUUUCUCUUUUAUACAUAAUUGGUUGAACAUUUAUUCCUAUAUAUACACACACACAUUGAUUGAUUGAUACAUACAAAUUAAGAAAAAUUUUAUUUACAUACUUAGAAUUGUUCCUACUUUCUAUGAUAUAAUAUAAUUCCUCAGUUGCAAAAAAAAAACAUAUUAGUUACAUUUGAUUUUAGACAAAAUAAUUAUAAACUAUUAAGAAAUUAUUAUUAAUUAUAAUAAUUAUAAGUUAAAUAAAUCAUACUAAUUUUGACUUGUAAACUUUAAAAAGUCAAACUUUAUUUUAUAUUUUGGAAUGGAGUUAGUAUUAUAUUUGGAAAAAUGAUAUAUAUUGUGAAUGCUUAUUCGAUUAUUUAAUUGCCAAUUAUGUGUAUAAGUAUUAGUAAUAAUUUUUUAUUUUUAUUUUUGUUAUUUAUGAAAAAAAUGAUAUAUAUAUAUAAGUAUUUUGAGGUGCAAAUCAAGAAUAUAUCAUAAACUAAUGGAAGAUUGCACUCCAAAUUUUUAAUUUUAUUUUCGUUAUUUAUGUAUUAUCCAAUUUAUUAACGAGAUUUAAUAAUUUUCAGUCUAGCUUUCCGAUCAAUCAUGGUACAAGAUCACAAUUACUCAUCAGGUCACAUGAAAAAGAGAUCCAUGUACAUUUUAGAGGAGCAUCUCCCGCUUUCCUAUUUGAGUUGAGAGUACAUAUCUACUAUUUAUUAGAGAGACUAAAAUAUAGUUAACUAUAUUCAAUCCAUAAUCAUAUGGAUCCAAAUCAUUUUAACCAUACUAUAAAUGAGUUUAUAGAGUUUUGAUUUUUGAUUGAUCCAUACCUACUUUUUUAUAACCCAAAAUCAACUACUAUAACUUAUUUUUUGCCCGUUCCUCAAGGCAAGACGACUGGGCGGUAUUUUUUUUUGAUUGGGCGAUAUAUUUUUUGUGUGAGAUAAAAUAUGAGUCUCUAGAUUAAGUUAGAAUGAAUCUGAACGGUACUUAUUCUUUAAAGUGGAAAAAGAUUCAAAUUGGGUUCUAUCUUAUUAUAUAUAUAUAUACACACACACGGAGAGAAUCAAGUGCAUACCCUUUUAUUUAACAUACCUUGCUCACCACUUUUAACGACGGAUCAGGUGACGGUUCGGUCCGUCACGUAUAUUAGCUUUUAGCGACGCAUCGAGCCGUCGCCAUAAUAUAAAAAUCGUUUAUCUAUUUUAUAGUAACGGACCGAAUCGUCGUCCGAUCUAUCACUAAAAAUGAUAAGCAAAAUAUAUUAGGUAUGCACAAGAAACGAAUUAUAUGCACCACAUGCAUGUUACAUGAAAGUGGUUAGGAUGAAGUUUAUUUUAAGGUAAGUUGGUCAAUUGACCAAUAGAAUACUGACACGCAGGCGAGGUUAUAUGUGUGUCAAUAUUCUAUUAGUCAAUUGACCAACUUACCAAAAAAAAACUUCAUGCUAACCGGAUCCAUAUUACAUAUAUCUGUUUAUAGUAUUUCCAAAGAUGUAUCCAGAUCAAUUCCUCUGUCAAAUCUCUCAAUUAUCUCAAUGUCUCUGUCAAGCUCCCCUUAAUUAGCCAACAAAAUGACAACAUUGAGCAACUAUUUAAUAAUUAAAUCCUACGCUACUCCUUUUAAUUAUUGCAGCGAUGAUACCCUUAAUUUCAACUUAAAGUGAUAAUAUUAACAAUUAGCUAGGAACUCGACUUGUUUAGAAACCUCUCUCAUAUAUAGUGUAGAAGCAUCUCUGACUAUUUAUAUACACGAUCCUUAAUUAGUUUCAAGUUUCAACCUUAUUAAUGGCCAAAUCAAAAGUUGUUAAUUUUCUUAUAUACAAUACUAUUAGAAGCAACAAAAUAUCCAUUAGAUAAUAAACAAAAAAGAUUAAUGUUAAAACGCAUGCAUACAUGCAUACAUAGACGCAAUAUUAUGAUUAUUUAUAUAUAAAAAUCCCAUUUAAAUAAAAAUUAACAAUUUUAUUACUAAUAAAAAGUGUAGCAUAUAUCCAUCCAAAAAUGAGAGUCAAAGUUGAAAAUCUUUGCGUGAAUUGAAAUAAUCCAUUUGACCUCUUUUUAUUUAUAGAUAUAAAGGGACAAAUAAUAAUCCAAUUAAUAAUAUUGUAGCACCGUUGCAUGUCAUGCCAGCUGAUCUUUCUAACCUAGUGACCGUUGCAUAUUUAUACAUCUAUAUCUAUUUUAUUACUAUAAUUUAUAUAUAUAAAAACUUUAGCUCAUUAUUAGCCGUUGAGUACUUUAACUAGUUAAUUAAAUAUACAAGGUAGGUGUAAUUAAUUAGGGAUUUAGGGUUAAGAUGAGAUGAGUGUGUGUUUGUGUUUGUGUGUGUGUGUGUGUGUGAGAGAGAGAGAGAAAAAGAGAUAGAGAAAGUCGUAGAAAAAUUGAGAAAAUAAAAAGUAGAAGAGCCGUUGGCAAUGAUAGGACAGGGAGGAGGGACCAUGCAAGCGUGGAAAUUCGAUUUUUAGUUUUUGUGGGCGGCAUAAAAAAUAAGUAGUAAAGUUUUAGGCAGCCCUAAUAAUUACUCCCCACCCUUAAUCAUUAAUUAUCAUUUUCCCCCAAUAAAUACUAACCCUCUUCUCCUCAUUUUCUCAUCCAAUCACUCCACUAUUUCUCUCUAAACUUCUUCUAAAUCACUAGAAAAAUUUGUGUGCAAAAACAGUACUGUAUAUUUUUUUUAUAUACUGUUGUUGUGCAGUUAUGGGAAAGGACGGAGAAGUAACGGAGCAGAGUGAGUUCUCAGCCAAGGACUACCAUGAUCCGCCACCGGCAGCCUUUAUCGGCACCGAUGAGCUAACCAAAUGGUCACUUUACAGGGCUGUCAUUGCUGAGUUCAUAGCCACCCUCCUCUUCCUUUAUAUCACUGUCUUGACGGUCAUCGGCUACAAGAGCCAGUCCGCCACCGAUGAGUGCGGCGGCGUUGGCCUUCUCGGCAUCGCCUGGGCCUUUGGUGGCAUGAUCUUCGUCCUUGUUUACUGCACCGCCGGUAUCUCUGGUCAGUACUAGUAAUUCUAAUUAUCUCCACUGUCCGUGUAUAGCUCUGUUUGUAACAACUUUUUAUUUAAUUAUCAGUUUUUAUUAUGCUUAGAUCUGCUUUUUACAUGUAGUUUUCAAAAGUUAACUAGUUUUAAUUAUGUUAACUAGGAUGCGAAAGGUGUUUAUUGCUGAAUUAAGUAUAAGUUCAAUAGCCUGCUUUAGGAGGUGUAACUCUGGAUACUCAAGAACCAGUACUUAGUUCAGUAACAGCUAGCUAGGGUAUAUAUAUAUAUAUAUAUAUAUNNNNNNNNNNNNNNNNNNNNNNNNNNNNNNNNNNNNNNNNNNNNNNNNNNNNNNNNNNNNNNNNNNNNNNNNNNNNNNNNNNNNNNNNNNNNNNNNNNNNUACAU
rnacentral:lncRNA from 1 species